UCAGGCUAAUUUAGAAGGUAACUACACAAACCCGCCCCUCUUUUUUUUUCUUUUCUCAAUUUCCCCUAAAUUUGCAGCUCAGUAAUGGCAGUGAGCUUAGAAGGAGACAAGGUGAUACUCGUUCCUUACAUGGAACCUCACGUCCCUAAAUACCAUCAAUGGAUGCAAGACCCGUUUCUUCUCCAAGCAACCGGGUCGGAUCCUCUGUCCCUCCAAGAAGAAUACACCAUGCAGCAGUCUUGGACCCAAGACCCGCUCAAGAGGACUUUUAUUGUGUUGGAUAAGGAGUUUGUGGAUGGUGAAUUUGUUCAUGGGGAUUCUCAUGUGGAAGCCAUGAUAGGUGAUGUAAACAUAUAUAUGAAUGACUUGGAUGAUCCGCAAAUGGCUGAAAUAGAGAUAAUGAUAGCUGAACCCAAAAGCCGUGGUAAAGGACUGGGGAAGGAAUCGGUAUUAAUGAUGAUGGCCUACGCUAUCCAAGAUCUUGGGAUUCAUGUUUUCCGUGCUAAAAUUGGAGAAUCAAACAGUUCUUCUCUUCAUUUGUUCCGCAAAUUGGGUUUUGAGGAGGCUUCUCAUAGUGAGAUUUUUAAAGAGGUGACAUUGGAGUUACCGGUGACUAAAUCUAAACAUGAAGAACUUCUAAAGCUGGUUAAUUAUGUGGUCAAACAUACACUUCCCUGUGCAACGACUUGCUGAUUUUAGCAUACUACUCUGACUGCAUAUUCUAACCGGAUUCAUUGUAGUUCCAGCGGAGUUGAGCUUGUAGUACCAGAAGAUUGUGGACCGGAAAACUCAAAACUGUUGGGAUCAUCAUUAUCAUCGUGCUGCUCCUCAUAAUAAGAUUGUUGAAAAGUACUUGGUGCUGCUGCCAUAGAGUGUGUAUGAUCCUCACUAUCAGAAUCUGAAGUGCUAACACUUGAUGAUAGACUAGAUGGAAAGGAUAACGUAUCAAUUUGACUCAUGUCAAGAGUAGGCAUAUUUGCGCCAUGGGCUGGAAAUGUUUAUUUUACAUUUGCACCUUGAUCAGUCGAUUCUGCUGCAGAUGAAGAAAUUGAUUUCGGUGAGGGAUUUUUUUUUUUCCGAAGACUUUUAUUAAACAAUUCUCUUUCAAGACCAAGACUUCGAAGCUCCUCUUCAGUCAUUUCUAGUAUUAUUUCAGAUAGUUGGCAAAGUGAUUUGGGUAUAGAAAAAGAAAAGGUUAUACUGUAUAAGUAGUAGUAUUUUUUGGUUUCAUAUUUUUUUUUUCAAGGGCUUGGAUAUCUUCCUAUUUUAAUUUCUUUGGCACCAAGAUCAGUCAAGGAUAAUCUUUUAAUCAACAACCUCAUUUCAUCUUGUCUAGCUUGCACUUUACUUUGAAGACCAAAAAUUUAAUUUC